AAGGAAAGAGCCACACCUCUGAUGAAGCAGGAGAGAAAGAAGCGAAGUCUGAUUAAUAGCAUACACCUGGUCUUAUCAGUCGUCCCUGUCUCCCUUCUUGUACAAUCCAGAGGAAUAUUUUUAUCAACUAUUUUGUAAAUGCAAGUUUUUUAGUAGCUCUAGAAACAUUUUCAACAAGGAGGGAAUACCACCUCAUCCCAUUUUUAAAGUGUAAAUGCUUUUUUUUUAAGAGGUGAAAUAAUUUGCUGGUGGUUUAUUUUCUGAUACAACCAGAAAAUAGUGGGAUAUUGAAUAUGGGAGGCUUUGAUUGUUUUCAGUGUCAGCUUAACAUUCCACAGAUAGGGGGUUAGUUUUUUAUAUCCUAUAAUACAGAGCAUAAUUAAAUUGCAGUUUGGAGUCAGUUGUGCAUUUAAUGUCUUGAACACUUUAAAUUACUUCUCUUCCCACAUUGUUUUUGGUAGAAUUGUUUCCUAAAGCAAACCACUCCUUGAUCUUGGCUCUCCUCUAUCGGAAUUUUGUGUACUCUGUAACAUCUUUGGUCGUGGUAGUCCAGUUUUCCUAGUAACUUUGUUAAUGUGCUGUGAACGAUUGAAAAUUUUAGUAUGUAUGUAGUGUAUAUGAUAUUAAAUUGUGAAUUGGUGGGACUUAUGAUGUAACAGCAUAUCAACAUUGGAUUGGUACUUGAUACCCUGUUAAGGAAAAUUUGCUUUCAGAUUUUCAGCUGGAAAGUCACUGGAAUAACUGUUUGGAAAAGAGUCACAACUGCAUGAUUUUUGGUGUGUGUAUUAAGAAUUGUGUACAAAUUGAAAUGUUUGUACUGAUCCUCAAAACAACCAAUGAAAUCUCAGUUGUGAAAGAAAAGAUAAUAAAAAAUAAUAAAAAAUUAAAAAAAU